AUUGAACGCUGGCGGCAUGCCUUACACAUGCAAGUCGAACGGCAGCACGGGUGCUUGCACCUGGUGGCGAGUGGCGAACGGGUGAGUAAUACAUCGGAACAUGUCCUGUAGUGGGGGAUAGCCCGGCGAAAGCCGGAUUAAUACCGCAUACGAUCUACGGAUGAAAGCGGGGGACCUACGGGCCUCGCGCUAUAGGGUUGGCCGAUGGCUGAUUAGCUAGUUGGUGGGGUAAAGGCCUACCAAGGCGACGAUCAGUAGCUGGUCUGAGAGGACGACCAGCCACACUGGGACUGAGACACGGCCCAGAAUCCUACGGGAGGCAGCAGUGGGGAAUUUUGGACAAUGGGCGAAAGCCUGAUCCAGCAAUGCCGCGUGUGUGAAGAAGGCCUUCGGGUUGUAAAGCACUUUUGUCCGGAAAGAAAUCCUUGGCCCUAAUACGGUCGGGGGAUGACGGUACCGGAAGAAUAAGCACCGGCUAACUACGUG
rnacentral:rRNA from 1 species